GCCGCGCUGUCUGCGGCCGCUAUCGACGAGACGCGGUGAAUGCCAACAGGCCGAGC
rnacentral:miRNA from 1 species